CCCUGAAGGACAAAGUCAUCUCUGGUUGAGAAGCACUGGCAUAUGCCUUUUAUCUCUUCCUGGGUCUUUGAAAUAAAACAAACAUUUGAGACCUGACAGUCCCCAAAUAACUUUGAAUGGGGAGGCCUUGAAGAGGAGACGAGGACACUGUGUACUAAGUUCUUGAAAAGUCUUCUAGGAAAAUGAAGACAGAGAAGGGAAAAACAAAUCAAGUGGAAAAUGCAAAGGGAGAACUGAGAAGGGAUAAAGAUGGAGAAAAUGAACUCGAGGAAUGUAGCCUUACUUCACUCAGUUCACAUUAGCAAAGUUAUUUCACACUAACAAAAACACACUAAGGGAGUCCUAUUUGGAAAAUGCUGGUAUGCUUAGCAAAGAGUCUUGAUCAAUUUGUGAAAGUAUUUCUUUUUCUUUACAGCAUGGUACCAGCUAUAACCUCCUUGAACUGGCUACUUGAAAGAAGCCUUCCUUCAGCGAUAUCACUUCUUCUAAGGUAGUAGUUUAUGUUCCAGGAAAAGUCAAGAUUCCCUAGUGAGCUGGCCAUUGUCACAAAGCUAUGAUAGCUAAGUUUUUUUCAGGUUUUCUAAGAGCUAGAUUCUACUCAGCAUUAUCACAAACAAUCACUUUUAUUUUCAUAACUUCUUUCAUGUAGGAAUUUUUACAAAGCAUAUGAUGUUUAUUAAUUUUCAUCUCAUACCUGUGAAGGAAAUCAUUUUGAUUUUCCUGUUUUAUAGAUACAGAAGCCAAAAUAUGGAGUCCACAAAAAAUAGUGAUAAAUCUGGAAACAGCCUACAGGGAUCUUCACUCUGGAUCAUUCUUUAUGUUUAGCACCACCCCAGAUCUUCAACUACCUAAUAGUAAGCUAAAGAUGAUAAUACUUCAAUUGAAUGCUAAAUUAUGUUUAAAGCCAAUAUUUUAUUGGCUUUAAAAUAUUCCAUAGUCUCUUCAUUUGACCUAUAAAAUAGCAGGCCUAUAGAGACUUUGACUUAAAACAAUAGUGACAGUACUUGAACUAGUACCCAGAUCUCAUGAUUCUUAGUCUAGUAUACUUUUCACUUGGUAAUACUUAGCUUACAGAAAAAAUAAUUAAGACAGAAACUCUAAUACACAUAGUAAUACACAUAAUAAUAAUAACUCUAAUACACAUAGUAAUACACAAAACUCUAAUACACAUACCAGACUUAUCCAACCAUUUGAGUACUUCAUUACAUAGGGGUCUUAAAAAGUUAGUUUUAGGGCUGGGUCUGGGGCUCAGCAGUAGAGCACUUGUCUAGCACGUGCAAGGCCCUGGGUUCAAUCCUCAGCACCACAUCUAAAUAAAUAAAAUAAAGGUAUUGUGUCCAGCUACAACUAAAAAGUAUAUAUAUUUUUUAAAAAGUUAGCUUUAGUGAGGAAAAGAAAGUCAUAGUAGGGUUGGGGUUGUGGCUCAGUGGUAGAGCACUUGACUAGCAUGUGUGAGGCACUGGGUUCAAUUCUCAGAACCACAUAUAAAUAAAUAAAUAGAAUAAAGGUCCGUUGACAACUAAAAAGUAUUUUAAAAAAGACAUAGUAUUUAUUAAUGAAAAGCAACUAGUAACUACAAAAUUAAAUUUAUAUUUGGGUUGAUGUAGUAGACUUCAGAAGGUGCAGUGAGUCUUCCCCUAAAGAAGUUUUGCAUAGGGUUAGCCUUUGAGAAAUAGAUUAAUAGGAAUAAAUUCUUAAUUAUCAAAUUUAGUAAUAUGUGAAAAUGAUAAAAUUGUCUUUAAAAAUGUGUCACUGAGGAGAUUCAGGAAUCACCAAUUCUAAGAAAGUUGCCCAGGAAAUACUAUAUUUCAUAGCAUCAUUAUGUUAAUAAUUCCCAAAUCUGUAUUUCCAAUCCAGACCUCUCCUCUGAGUUCUAGCCGCACAUAAUGCCUACUUUGAAUUUGGUUGUCUUACAGAGGUUUAAAAAGAAUUUUAUUAUUUUCCACAUUAAAUUUUCCUCACAUCAGUUAAUGGCAAUGUUCUCUGCUCAGUUGCUUGUAUUAGAAAUCCAGGAGUUACCCUCAAUUCUUUCCUUUCCUUUACCUUUGUCCUCUUUCCUUUCCUUUACCUUUGUCCUCCAAUCCAUUAUCGAGUAUUAAUAAAUCUGAAAUUCAAACAACUUAUCUCUGUCUUCAAUACUACUAGCCUAAUCUAAGUGAUUGUCAUAUUUUUCUUGGAUACUGUAAUAUUUUCCUUUUGUCCCUUCACAACACUUAUCACAGUUUGUUUAAUUUACUGAUCUGCUAUUUACUUGUGAUUUUCUUAAUCUUAUAUUACUACUAGACUAUACAGAAAUUCUUUGAGAAUAGGUACAGAGUCUGUCUUGUUCACUCUAAUAAUCCCAGCAUCUAGCAGAGGACCUAGCUCAUCAUAGGAAAUUAAUAAAUACUUUAGAAUAUUUGUUGAAUUAAUCAAUGAAAAUUUAAUAGUCCAGAAUUAUAGCAUGAUUCUUAUAGUGAAAUAGUUGAAGUUGAGGCCUUUAUUUAAUCAAACCUGGUAAAAUUGACUGAAACUACCUACCAUAAUUAAAAUCAAUUGUAUUAUAGUAUAUUUGAAAGUGUGUGUUGAAAUUAAAACUAUACACCUGGAAUCCAGAAAGAGAGGAAACACUCAGGAUUUGGUCAUGUUUUCCAUCCAGCAUGUUCAGGAUUGAGAAAUUAUGAACCCAAAGAAUAUUGUUAAGUUAGUUAUUAGAGAGGUACACUUAUUCUAGAGCAUAGAUCAUUUCUUAUGCUUUACCUGUGACCUGAAUUAAAUAGACCUUAAUAACAUCAACCUCCUUUUUUCUGAUCAUUCCCAAGUAGUGUUUUGAUUAUCAACUUAGAUUCCUUGGUACCUUCAUACUGGGAAAGAAAUGAUUUAGACAACAAACGUAAAUAUUCUUGUCACUGGAAAAAUGCAUUUCACAUUAGAACAUAAUUCUGUGAGGACAGAAAAUUGAUCAUCACAGUUACAUCCUCGCUCUUUAUAGAACUAUGCUGAGCACAAAGCAGAUUUUUUUUUUUUGGUGGGUACUAGGGAUUGAACCCAGGGCACUUAAUCACUGGGCCACAUCCCCCCAAAGUAGAUUCUUUAUAAGUACUUGGUGAAUGAAUGAAUGUGUAUUAGUAAAUUAGGAUUAUAUUUUAUACCACAGUCUCUUAUGCAUUUUUUAUUGUGAGUCAGUCUUCAAGUAUUUUUUAUUGUGAGUCAGUCUUCAAGUGUUCUGUACUACAUGCAUUAUGAAAAUUAGGUUUCUGAUUUUGGAGGCCAAAUAUGAGAUCCUGAACUCUGGUAUUCCACCUAAAGGUCCUUGAGAUUAUUUGGUUAGCCAGUUUACCACCUCCUUUGGUAUCUUGUAAUUCCAGUUCAUCCUCUUUAGCCUAUAAAGUUUUUUAAAUAAAAAGAAAUCUAAUUGUGUUGUUCUCCUGAUUAAAAAUCAAUUAAUUCUGUUACCUUCCGAAUAAUAGCUAGCCCAAGUCUCUCUCAAUGUCCACCUCCCCUUACAAUUUUACUAUCUAUCUUUCUUACCAUUCCCCAUUCACAGAUGCUAAGUUCUAGCUGCACUGUAUCCCUUAAUAUUUCAUGAACAUGCUGUGCUCCUUGAUUUUUUCCAUACUAUUUCCGCUGGCUAGAAUGUCUUUGCCUGCUUUUUCCAUCUGAUGAACUCCUAUCAUCCUUUAAAAUCCAGCUAGAUGUUACUUUUGAAGAACGCUUUGAUUUCAUUCUUGUUUUCUCUUUACUACUCUAUCACAGUCCUUACCAUAUCAUGGGUAGCUGUCUUUGAGGUCAUGGAGGGCAGGAUCUGUGUCUUACUCAACUUUCUGUGCUUUUCCAACACCUAGCACAUGUUUGUGAAAGCAAAACCUAUAUGAAGUGAGAGAUAGGAGCACUAAUAACUAACUUGCCAACAGACUUAGCUUCUUGAGCACAACCUCCUUCCCAAGGGAGGAUGGGAAAUUUCCCAGCUAUAUUCUGUUUGGAAUAAUAGAGUAUGAACACAGUCAGGAAAGAAAUGUGUUUUACAUAUUCCCUUUAUGAUUCACUAUAAAAGGAGGUAAUAACAUUCUUCUUGACAUCAGCAGGCUCUCAAAGGAGUGAUUCAUUGUACCUUGUACAUACUCAGUACUGUGGAUUGUCACUGUUUUUAAAAAUGUUUUGGAUUCUCACUAUUAAUUGCUAAUCUUUCCCCCUUGCUCUCGAAAGACAUUGUAAUAUCAACAUCCCGCACAGUGCCUAAUACUUAUUAGGAGCUCAAUAAAUGUUUAUUGAAAGACUUAUGAAUUAAUAAAACAAAAAUGAAACUUU
rnacentral:lncRNA from 1 species